GGACAGGCCAUAGCUCAAUGGUAGAGCAUCUUCCUUGCACAAAGGAGGUCACAAGUUCAAUCCCUGGCAUGUCCU